rnacentral:sRNA from 1 species
GUUUGGUAUUCAAUGCCUCCACUUUGGCAUUCAGGUCAUUGUAGCUGCAGUCCAGCUUAUGGUGCAAUUUAGAUAACUUCUUAGCAAUUUCCAUGGAGCAAC